AUUGAACGCUGGCGGCAUGCUUUAUACAUGCAAGUCGAACGGUAACAGGUUAAGCUGACGAGUGGCGAACGGGUGAGUAAUGCAUCGGAACGUGCCCGGUCGUGGGGGAUAACGCAGCGAAAGCUGCGCUAAUACCGCAUACGAUCUGAGGAUGAAAACGGGGGACCGUAAGGCCUCGCGCGAUCGGAGCGGCCGAUGUCAGAUUAGGUAGUUGGUGGGGUAAAGGCUCACCAAGCCAACGAUCUGUAGCUGGUCUGAGAGGACGACCAGCCACACUGGGACUGAGACACGGCCCAGACUCCUACGGGAGGCAGCAGUGGGGAAUUUUGGACAAUGGGCGCAAGCCUGAUCCAGCAAUGCCGCGUGCAGGAAGAAGGCCUUCGGGUUGUAAACUGCUUUUGUACGGAACGAAAAGGUCUGGGUUAAUACCCUGGGCACAUGACGGUACCGUAAGAAUAAGCACCGGCUAACUACGUGCCAGCAGCCGCCGUAA
rnacentral:rRNA from 1 species